rnacentral:rRNA from 1 species
GUCCUAAGGUAGCGAAAUUCCUUGUCGGGUAAGUUCCGACCUGCACGAAUGGCGUAAUGAUGGCCAGGCUGUCUCCACCCGAGACUCAGUGAAAUUGAACUCGCUGUGAAGAUGCAGUGUACCCGCGGCAAGACGGAAAGACCCCGUGAACCUUUACUAUAGCUUGACACUGAACAUUGAGCCUUGAUGUGUAGGAUAGGUGGGAGGCCUUGAAGUGUGGACGCCAGUCUGCAUGGAGCCAACCUUGAAAUACCACCCUUUAAUGUUUGAUGUUCUAACUCGGCCCCAUGAUCUGGGGUGAGGACAGUGUCUGGUGGGUAGUUUGACUGGGGCGGUCUCCUCCCAAAGAGUAACGGAGGAGCACGAAGGUUAGCUAAUCACGGUCGGACAUCGUGAGGUUAGUGCAAAGGCAUAAGCUAGCUUGACUGCGAGAGUGACGGCUCGAGCAGGUACGAAAGUAGGUCUUAGUGAUCCGGUGGUUCUGAAUGGAAGGGCCAUCGCUCAACGGAUAAAAGGUACUCCGGGGAUAACAGGCUGAUACCGCCCAAGAGUUCAUAUCGACGGCGGUGUUUGGCACCUCGAUGUCGGCUCAUCACAUCCUGGGGCUGAAGUAGGUCCCAAGGGUAUGGCUGUUCGCCAUUUAAAGUGGUACGCGAGCUGGGUUUAGAACGUCGUGAGACAGUUCGGUCCCUAUCUGCCGUGGGCGUUGGAAGAUUGAGAGGGGCUGCUCCUAGUACGAGAGGACCGGAGUGGACGAAUCACUGGUGUUCGGGUUGUCAUGCCAAUGGCAUUGCCCGGUAGCUAAAUUCGGAAGAGAUAACCGCUGAAAGCAUCUAAGCGGGAAACUUGCCUCGAGAUGAGUCUUCCCUGGGGCUUAAAGCCCCCUGAAGGAACGUUAAAGACUAUGACGUUGAUAGGCUGG